UCCCCUACACCUCCCUAGCCCCUCAGAGCCUCGCCGGAGUGCCUCCCCAACCUCCUCUGAUGCCACGGUCGCCGGCAAGCUUCACUUCGAUUCCAACGAUCCCGAGCCUCAUUCACUCUUCCUCCACCACCAGUACGCCGUCCCAGUGCUCCAACCCCUCCUCCGGCGCACCGGAGCGCCAUGCCCAUCUCCUCCCGAAUACCCCUCCGCCGCGGGCCCAACUGCGGCCAUUCCCGAGCUCCCCGGCGUCUUCCACGGCCGGGAACGGAUCCUCCUUGUCCUCCUGAGCAUUUUAAUAGGUCGCCCGUCCCGAACGGUGGCCGGACUCGCCGGCAGUCGCCGUCGGGAUGGCCACCUCCCUCGGCCCAGCGCGCUCCCGAGCGGGAGGUUGAAGACGGUCAGGGCAAGGCGGGCCCCUCCCCGCGCGACCCCACCUGUCAGCGCCUCAAGGCCGGCCCCGCUCCCGCCACGUCAGUUAAGUGGAAGCGUACUCCACUGGAGUACGUCUUCCCUGGCGCGGAAGCGUUUUUGUAGGAAAUACGCUUUCUGUUUAAACCCUGCCGGCCGAAACCUCUAGUUUGUGAAUGUUCGUCCGUUAAGAGCAGAAAUGAAUACUUUUUUAUUUCUUUUUCUGCCUAACGAACAAAUGGUCAUAACUCUGUGACCGUGACUCUGAUUGAGGUGAUUCCAACUCCCACGUCUUCGCCUCGUCGAGCCCGUUCACAUCAUCUCUACUCCUAAUGUUUGAGUUGGUUGAAUAGUACCACGGUUUAUUUUCGUCCGGUUUAUUUUCGCCUCACCUCCCACCACCCUCCCACGUUAAUGUUUUAUUCUUUGCACUUAAAACCAAAUCGCGUCUAAUACUCCUUCCAUUUAUUCAUGCUUGCUUUGGCAAGUGUCGAUUCAAUUCAACCAUGUAAAUAUUUGGUAAUUAAGAAUUCAUAAAUAAUAACAUACACAUGAGAUCACCUUCCAAACAGAUCACAUCGCCCUCCGAUUCAUUUCUCCCACCGAUCCCCUUCAAUACUUAGCUUCGCUAGAAAAAAAACACAACUAUCGAAGCCAUGCCCUCACAUGAUCACGUAUCACAAUGAGAAAACUCCUUAUAUUGUUUCCCUAUUUAAAUAUACUAGCAAACAUGCCCGUGCGUUGCAACGGGAGAAAACAACCCUCUCACAUGCCCUUACCCAUUGAGCAUGGCUAAAGAAUUCACCCUUAUGCCCAUAACAUAAUAAACAUGACUAAUACCUAAUCCUCACGUCCACAUCCUCCAUUUCAGUAUAACACCAGACACAUGUUUCCGCUUGUCGUCUUUUCCGUCCUCAUCACUGGUGGUCGCAUUAUCAGUUGUCACUAACCAGGGUUGACCAGGUGCAAUGGAUUGUUGAGCCGCCUUCAUGUCCGGCGAAGAGAAAGAGCGUUGAACAAAGUUUUUUAUUUAUCAUCUGGCUAAUAUAAUAGGGAAAAGCACUGCACAAAAUGUAUGUCCAUGUCAUUAUGUAAAUUGAAUAGUUUGUGUCAGAUUGAUCAUGAAAUCUUAGUUGGACUCCUCAUGCAUUUUGACAGGAAUCACUGGGCCGAGUGAGACUCGUCGUACGUGUGAAGACGCGAUAGAGAAAAAGAUUCCUUCCAUAUCCAUAGUUUGAACUAAAACAAUGCAUCAGGUGGGCAUAUUUCAAAAAUUCACCAAGUUUUAUUAAUAGGUAUAGACUAAAGCAAUUUAGCUAUAAUACCUCCCAGUUUAGAAAAACAUGUUUAAGAAAAUAUUUUCCUUUUCAAAUUUAAAGUUCAAAAAAUAUUCGUGUUUUAAAAAUGUUUGCAAAUUAAAAAAUAAUCAAAACAGUACCUCCUAGUUUUAAAAAAUUGUUUUUGUUUUAAAAUAUACUCAAGUUUAAAGAAAAUAAAAGGCGAAAUAUUGUUAUUUAAAAAAAUGUUUGAGUUAAAAAUUAUUUAUUAACAACUUUGAAAAAAAAUCGGGUUCUAUAAUAUAUUCACUUUUUCAGAAAAAAAAUUCCUCUCAGUAUCUGGCGAGACUAUGAACUAAUUUAAAAUUUCGCGCUGCAAUUUAAACAGCCAGUCAUGUUUAUUCUAGUGGCUAGCAAUCUGAGCUCUCUAGCAUGAGCGGCUUGGUUCGAUUCCUCUCGUGGCGCAGCAUUUUUUCUUAGAUUUUUUUACUGGCGCGGGCUGUUAUGCUAAUGGGCCGGCCCAUUGCGGCUCUGUGCCUCCUGUGUUAUGUUUUUUUGACUGAAACGAAUUGGGAGAAGGCAAAAACGCCCGCACCAGAGAACAUCUGCGACGUAUCUAGGUCCCACCGUAAACGAAAAUAACUGGAGAAACAAUCCUUCCUUUAAUAUCGCACCAGAGAACAUCUGCGACGUACAAAAGUUAUUUAGGUCCCACCGUAAACGAAAAUAAGUGAAGAAACAAUCCUUCCUUUAAUAUUUGGUUAAGAUAAAGAUAAAGAUUUAGGAGCAGUCGGUACGUCUUUCGUUCGUACCCAGCCUCCCAUCGAUCGCGAAGGCAUCCCCGCUACUUUUUUCCGCUUCUUCGACGUUCGUCGAUUCGUCCCCACCCGCACAGCCAUACGUGGACCAAGCCCUGCAAAAGAACGAGAUCCAACCCACGUCUCUCUAUCAACAAAAGCACGACACGCUAGGGUUAGCAGCCGCCAGCCACGCCCGCCCCUCGAUCGGCUCCUCCCGAGGCGCCAUCGUGCUCUCGCGCACGGCGCUGGCCGCUGUCCUCAAUGCCCCCUCGCACUUCGCAUCUGCUGCCUCAUCCUCCGACCUCCGUCGUCGUGCAGCACAUCGUUGCCAUGGACUCGAACUUCUGAUGCUACGGGGAAGCCGGAUCGGAUCCCACCCCGAGGGCUCGACCUGAGGCUGCGGUGGGUUGUAGAACUCCCCGGCGACAAGCUCAACGGCCUUGUACUUCGCCCGCACAAGCACCAUUGGGUCGACGUCGCUGCCAGUGGCUGCGGCCAUGCAUUUCGAAAUUCCAUGGCAUGAUGCAUAUAAAUUGGAUCAGUAUGUGGGUUCAGAAGAUGAUUUUUUUUCUAUGCUUCCCCUAUGGUGGGUUCGGUUUUGCAUUACUCAAUUUUGCUAAUGUGUCGUUUCUGCAAUGUACCUUCAAUUUUUUUAGUAUACUAAUUUCAAAUGAUUAUAUAAUUUUCUAUGGAUCAGAUUCAUGAAGCUCCAAGCGAGCAAGAAGUUUCAGUCCACCUUUACUCAUGGCCUCCCCUUCUCGUCUGGUGGACGGCCUUGGCAAUCUGAACAAGCUUUACGCGACUGGCGCUCUUGUUGAUUCCUUAUGAGUCAUUUAAGCUGUUUUUGCACAAGGUUGAGAUAGUUGGGGCAUGUAACUGUGUUUUGAUCCCACGAAUGUCAUUUUGCACUGAAGGCUUGUAACCAUUGGGAAAUGUUUGCUUGCUCUGAUGUAUCAAGUUGCCAUGGGGGUGAUCUAGAGGUCUCUUCCUUGUCCGAAGUGUCGUACCGAAUCAAGACAUGUUCAUUUAAUUUACCUGUCAUGUAAAUGACACAACAUGAUUCACUUGUGUAUAGUGUAAAAAUAUAUUUAUUUAUGGCACACAGGUGUUCAAAUUAUAGUUGUAAAACGUGUAUAGUGUAAAAAUAUAAUUAUUAAGGGAAGUGACAUCACAA